rnacentral:rRNA from 1 species
CGGUUUUAACUUUAGUGGCGAACGGGUGAGUAACGCGUGAGGAACCUGCCUUUCAGUGGGGGACAACAGUUGGAAACGACUGCUAAUACCGCAUGAUACUUUUGGGAGACAUCUCCUGAAAGUCAAAGCUUUAUGUGCUGAAAGAUGGCCUCGCGUCUGAUUAGCUGGUUGGUGAGGUAACGGCUCACCAAGGCGACGAUCAGUAGCCGGUCUGAGAGGAUGAACGGCCACAUUGGGACUGAGAUACGGCCCAGACUCCUACGGGAGGCAGCAGUGGGGAAUAUUGGGCAAUGGGGGAAACCCUGACCCAGCAACGCCGCGUGAAGGAAGAAGGCCUUCGGGUUGUAAACUUCUUUUACCAGGGACGAAGGACGUGACGGUACCUGGAGAAAAAGCAACGGCUAACUACGUGCCAGCAGCCGCGGUAAUACGUAGGUUGCAAGCGUUGUCCGGAUUUACUGGGUGUAAAGGGCGUGUAGGCGGAGAUGCAAGUUGGGAGUGAAAUCCAUGGGCUCAACCCAUGAACUGCUCUCAAAACUGUAUCCCUUGAGUAUCGGAGAGGCAAGCGGAAUUCCUAGUGUAGCGGUGAAAUGCGUAGAUAUUAGGAGGAACACCAGUGGCGAAGGCGGCUUGCUGGACGACAACUGACGCUGAGGCGCGAAAGCGUGGGGAGCAAACAGGAUUAGAUACCCUGGUAGUCCACGCUGUAAACGAUGAAUACUAGGUGUGGGAGGACUGACCCCUUCCGUGCCGCAGUUAACACAAUAAGUAUUCCACCUGGGGAGUACGACCGCAAGGUUGAAACUCAAAGGAAUUGACGGGGGCCCGCACAAGCAGUGGAUUAUGUGGUUUAAUU